GAAGAGUCUCAUGGACUCUGAGGUUCCGAAGGGAAGAAAAGGCUCGUAGGUUUAAGAACUUCUAACAAAACACCAGAAGGAUGGAAAAGGUGUUAACAGAAAACUGAACUCCAAGUCUGGACUCAGACGGCCAAGACGCGGUCUGUUCCCUAAGUGGGCUCCCAGCCUGGAGACAAAGGCGCUGGAAUCAUGCUGAACCUGCUCAGGAAACCCAGGCUCCAGGCUGGCCUUGGUUUGGGUGGAGACCAGCCUUCAGGAGCUGCCCAAAAUACUGAGAGCCGUGCUUUGGAAAGACAUAGAUUUCAACAAUACGCCCUCCUCUCACUGACCCUCUCACCCUCUGGCUCAAAGAGAGGCUUUCUGUCACUAAAAAGGCAUGUUCAUUUAUAACAGAUGGGGUGUUUGGACUUUCUGGUAAUGGAUUUAUAGAUUUCA